CUCAUGGUUUCACGGUAUUGCAAUGAGAACAAUUUAAAACCCUUAGCGAGAAUCAAGUGGAGGACAAGUCUGGUGCCAGCACCGCGGUAAUUCCAGCUCCACUAGCGUAUAUUAAAGUUGUUGCAGUUAAAAAGCUCGUAGUUGAACCUCUGUCUGGGGCUAGUUUUGGCUUUGGUCAGGCUAGUUCUAGGCACCCGCCUACAAGACUUAGAGGGCAUUCAGUUGUUCACUAGGAGGAGUAGGCAUUUUACUUUGAAAAAAUUAGAGUGUUUAAGGCAGGCAAUCGCCCGCAUAUAUUAGCAUGGAAUAAUAGAAUAGGACACUUUUCCAUUUCGUUGGUUAUUGGAAUCGUGUAAUGAUUAAUAGGGACAGUUGUGGGCAUUUGUAUUUAAUUGUCAGAGGUGAAAUUCUUGGAUUUAUUAAAGACAAACUAACGCGAAAGCAUUUGCCAAGGAUGUUUUCAUUAAUCAAGAACGAAAGUUAGGGGAUCAAAGACGAUCAGAUACCGUCCUAGUCUUAACUAUAAACUAUUCCGACUCAAUGUUUGACUGGCUUAUAUAACCAGUUGAGCGUUGUAUGAGAAAUCAAGGUCUUUAGGUUCUGGGGGGAGUAUGGUUGCAAAGCUGAAACUUAAAGGAAUUGUCGGAAGAGCACAACCAGGAGUGGAUUCUGCGGCUUAAUUUGACUCAACACGGGGAAACUUACCAGGUUAAAACAAUAGUGGGAUUGACAGUUUGAGAGCGCUUUCUUGAUUGGUUGGGUGGUGGUGCAUGGCCGUUCUUAGUUGGUGGAGUGAUUUGUCUGCUUAAUUGCGUUAACGAACGAGACCUUAACCUGCUUACUAGACUGGCGAUCAUCAAUCGUUAGCUCUUCUUAGAGGGACUUUGGUUGUUUUAACUCCAAGGAAGUUUGAGGCAAUAACAGGUCUGUGAUGCCCUUAGAUAUCCUGGGCCGCACGCGUCAUACAAUGACUAGUUCAGAAAGUUUUCCCCUGACCCGAAAGGGGAUGGGUAAUCUUGAUAAUACUAGUCGUGUUAGGGAUCGAUCUUUGCAAUUAUAGAUCUUGAACGAGGAAUUCCUAGUAAGUGCGGUUCAUCAGACCGUACUGAUUACGUCCCUGCUCUUUGUACACACCGCCCGUCGCUUCUACCGAGUGGGUGGUCCGGUGAGAUAAUUGAACUUCGCAGGUAACUGAGAGGAAAGAUUAUCAAACCCAUCCACCUCGA
rnacentral:rRNA from 1 species